UGCUGCCAUCUGUCACAUGGCAACAAAACAUAACGGAAUGUUGGUGGGAAAAGUUCCACCUCUACUGCCAUACCAACAACAUACACCUUUGACGUCAUGGGUCAACAUAAUAAAACAGGAGGCAUUACUUUUGGAGCAGCCAUCAUACUAAUAGGGUCCCAAAGAAAAAGGGUCAUUUUGUUGUUCCCAGCUGUUUAACACCAGCCCUCCAGCCAGAAACCAGGCAUGCAGCAGACAGUUGCUUCUUACCCCCCUGCUCCCCCUUCCCACAUCUAUCACCUCCUUCAUUCCACACUCCUGCUCGGAGCACUCAUAGCUCAGUCACCGCAUUUCUUACAGACGCUGUAUUUGUACAUAUACACAGAGCACUGGGAGAGGAAAGAGACAAAGCUGGCGCACUGGCAUGGAUGGUUAACAGCUGCCAGGAUUUCUCCCCCAUCAGCGCUGAGCGAUUCUAAUGUUAGCUGCCUGGCUCCAUCCCACCCAGGGUGCCACAUGCCUUCGCCUUCCAACACACUCAGCUUUUGCCAGCCUUGAACCCAAAUCUAUCUCCCAUCCUGCCUUUUUUCUUCUGAAGAUUAACCAUGUGAGGGAGCCAGCCUGUCUCAGCUGAAGGACCAGAUGACAGAUUUCACAGGGCUGGACCUCACAGGGAAACGGCAGAUUUCACAGCAGCCUUUGGUAAGUGGAAAAGUAAUGAAUACGCAAAGUAAUUCAGCAUACAGUGUAUGCCAGAAGACCUCUGCUUUGAACAUUGCUCCAUUAAUUGUAAGGAAGAGCAGUGCAGGUCAACAAAAAUGCUCCCCAAGCACAUCACACAUCCCUUCCUACAGAGAAGAAAGACCUGGAAUGACCUGAUGGAGGUUUUAUUUAAGUGUAUGUCCCAAAGCCACAAAAACCCAUGCAAGGUUGGGAAUUUCAUUUCCAAGAUGGAGGAAUUACAUACAACAGAAAGGUUUUGUUGCUGUUGUUCCAAUGUUUUCAUCAUUUAAGGGAAGUCUGUUUUCAGAAAGCAAGGUAUGCAUGGUGUGUGUGCAGACAGUGCUCCUCUAGCCAGCCCCCAGCUCUCAGUCUGCCCAGCCAGACCUGCUCCCUGUGCACUUUUAAUAGAAAAGCCAGGCAGGUAAUAAUAGCAGAUCAAAAGCCUAUUCUGCAGAGCACUGGCUCUUUCUCAAGGAAAGUAGAGUACCACUACAGCAUGAAUGACUCAAUCAUCUACUCAAGAGCUAUUACUUGCAGCGAUGAAGCAAUGUUAAUUGGAUAAUGGCCUGCUGCCAGCUAAUAUUGGCAUGACCUACAAUACCCUUGGCUGACAGCCGUGUCUGCCUCUCUAUCACACCUUUUUUUGUAAUCUGGAUGGGAAGUGGAAACCAUUAAAAAUGCCUCAUAAGUGCCAUUUAACUUCUUAUCAUGAAUUAAAAGCUUAAUUAAGUGCCUUGUUAAAGGAAGGAAGACCAGUUUUUGUGAUUAAAUAAAACAAAACAACAGUUAGGGGUACGGAUUAAAUGAGUAACUUUACAGCUUCAAACUUGAGUCUUGGAAAAUAUUAAUUUCAGGAAGUACUUAACAGCAGCUGGUAGAUGAAAAUGGCACAACUGCUAUAAAAUACUCAGGGUGAAAAGCACAUGAGAUUCUAGUUGUUUACCAAAACUGCAAAUGAAGAGGAAAGUGUAGAAGUUAAGAGCUAUUGGGGUCCUUUUUUAUGAGCUGUACGGAGCUGCAGCUGACAUGCUCCAGCUCUCGGACUCGGCUAUGAGUCCUGACACUUCACAUGCCACAACCACAUUUGAGCACUUGCUAUUUCGUGGCUGUUUUUCCAAGCGCUUAUCUACACACUGAAAUAUGCUGCUUUAAAAAGAGGUGUAGCAUGAAAUCGAAUUACUGGUGUUGGCAUGGAAGGGUUUAUGGAAACUCUUCAAUCAGUGCAAAAUUAGCUCCAUACGGACUCAGUUUAAAUAAGUUGAUUAGGAAAAGGUUUGAACUAAGGCACAUUAAGUCAUGCUUGAAGUGACGUGAAAUGUCCAACAUAAGGUUUUACACUGGUUUGAAAUCCAGUAAGCUCAACUAGUCUCAAUACUGCAUGUGCAGAAUGUCUCACUACUGAAAUGAUGAGCGUAUCAUAAAGCCUCCACUUACUGUAAUUGGAUAUAAACAAGAAAUAAUGUACAAAACAUCUGUUUGCUGUUUAGCUUGACAACAGUUAACAAGGUCUGGAUGCCAGAUUAACAAAAAGACCCCAAUAUGCUAUAAAGUAAAAAAGAAACCCUCCGAAAUCCAGUCUUCAGAGGCAGAUUUACUGCUUUGAAUAAUGAAAAAGAAGUUCUUUUGUUUUCAUGUCAAGCUCCCUCAUGCCAACAUUACAUGACUGCAAAAGCUUUAUAUAUAAAGCUUUAUCCAGCUCCAACAUCAAGCCUUUGAGAAAUAAUAAUAAUGCUCAUUCUCCAUAAUUGCGUACUUCAGCAGUUUUCAGACCACAACAGAAUUUAAAACACAAUUCUUGCAUGACUGACUUAAAAAUAUCUUAGUUAAUUUAGGAGUGAUUGUCACCUUUGGGAAAGUUUUGAACGGUGAAGACUAUAUUUAAAAACAAUUUGCAAUCUCUGAUUUGCUAUUACAACUGUAUGCCAAUGAAAGUUGUUUCUAAGCUUGAACAACAUAUUGGCCCAGGACACUAACUUUGACUUUUGUCUGAAAUUUUUCCACUGUUGGCAUAACUCCCUAUGUGAAAAAUUAAGUCAGUUUUCACAUAUAUCUUUAGAAAUAAUUCAUGGGCUUCCAGAGCUUUACAGACCAUGGACUAAAAACAAUAGCCUUGGAAAGAGCCAUUAGCUUGUGAAUUGAAAAAGACCCUGCUAACUUCUUUCAAUACAAUAUACGUAAGAUGGUUCUUCCCUCCACUCUAUCAGCUUCCAAAAAAACACGACUGCUGCAGCUCCUUCUGUGAGCAGCUCCAACACAGUUCCUUGUUGGAGGCACUUCACAUAUCUAAACAUAGGCAUCUACCAAAGUGCACAUCCCAAAGAGCAACAGCAGAAGCAGAGGAGUGCUCCUUAACCAUGCAAUCAUCAAGAAGCAACGAUCUGCAUCAGGCAGCUCUCUUUACCCUCAGUGACUAACAUCUGUGAGGAAAUUAUAUGACUGACCACCUCAUACUCGCUACUCAAAUACACUAGUCACUGAGCAAAUUAGACUCCAUGGAGCUAUUAGAGAUCCAUGUGCAUGUGGAAAAUAUCUGUACAAUUAGGCAUUAGUAACUGCACAUAUCUGUUUUGAUAGGCCAAGGAUGUUCUUUUCCACUAUGAAAAAGGUGAAGUCUUGAUGCUCUGCAACUGACUGUGGCAUGUGCUGAGGUGGAGCACAACAAUUUCAGAGUAAUGGAAAAACCUUAAGGCCCAGUUUGACUGCUUCUGCAAAAGCAUGGCACUUACUGGAGCUGUAGCAGCAACCAAUGUAACCUUAACUCACUAAGGCUUUUUGAUCUUUCAUUGAGAUAUAUUCUAAAAUGUAAAACCCCAAUGCUUUAUUUAUCUAAAGGGGAUUCAUUUAAAUAGAAAUAAUUUGUGGUUGCGCAGAAACAAUGCUUUUUUUAGUACAGCAUCUAAUAUAAAACACGUGAAGAUAAAUCUUUGUGUUUCUUUUCUGUAGUAUCAUAUAAACCCAGGACUGUGUUAUCAAGACCCAUCCUCUGAUCGUGAAGGCAAACAAAGCACAAUUCCUCUGUCACCCUACUCCUCAUGCUGGCCAGUGGUUCAACAUCUCACUGCUGCUGUAAUUAAAAAGCUGCUAAUUUCCAACCUAGUUUUACUAAAAGCCAUCUGAAACCAAUCAACUGUCAUUACUGUCAACACUGUCUUUUAGUAUUAAAGAGAAACUUCCCCUUCUUAGUUGUUUCACCCCCUCUGCCUACAUGGAGCUGUAACUCCUUGCAGCCAGCGCUCUUCCAGCAUGAACCUGUUAUAGUCUUUUCUCCUCCUCCUUCUUUAAGCUGGACUCCUUCUGAACAUCUCAGUUACUCUCAUAUUCUUCAACUGUUUUUCUCAAUUUAAGAAAUCAUACAUGGUAUCCAAGAGGAGGUCUCAUCAAGGCUUUGUAGAAGAGCACUGAUGCUCUUGUCACACAUGUGAGCCACUGGGCAUCUAUUGUAACCUCUGCUUCCACUGUUUUGCCUUGCAGGGUAAAAGCUAUGCAACACUGCCUGAGACUUGAUUCUUCCACUGGAAAUUAUUAGUGGACAGUGUCGAAUCAUUGUGUGCAUCCUAGCGUGUCCUCUGUGAUAUAUGUGAACUCCUAUGCAAAAUGUCUGGGUUGAAAUCUCUUCAUGAGUAAUGUUCGGUAUCAGGACUUGUGAAGUUAUGCCCGGUGACCUACUUCUUCCAGUGCUCUCCACCUUGCAUCAUCACAACAUCACAAUACCACUGAGGUCUCCAGAGAACUAAACCAGAGAGGGGAAAAAUGGUGUGUGACACUUCAGGACCUGUCAUCACCUAAAAAGGUCCCAUACUUCUUCACUGGUGUUAAGCAAAUGAUGUUGAAAACCCCUCUGCCUCAUGCUGUAGGCCAGAACAGCUCCUCCCAGAGCAACUGCCUUCCUGAGCCUUGGAGGAGUCACCACCCCAGUGUGACUUUGCACCAGUGGGGGACCCAGGGCAGGCAGGGGGUGACAGCAGCCCCUGCACCUCCUUGCUGGCAAAGACACCAGCGUGCCCUAUGGUAUCUGCAGUACUGCAGUCAUAGAGCUGUGAGGAAAUUACAGUGGGGGUGGAAGUCAGCCAGUGAGAUUUUGUGGUAAAAUAAAGUAAACUUUCCAGUGAGAAAAAGUAUGGCCCGAAACAGUUAAAUCCCAAAGCAGUUGCGAAGACAAGAGAAAGGAAGGAAGGCUGAAUGGGACACAGGAAAGGCGAAAGAGAGAACUGCUGGAGAGGGGUGGGUAGCGAUGAGACUCCAAACAAUGUGACAGUUCAAAUGACUUUUCAACAAUAACCUGCUGUCUAACAGCCAAGUGACCCCUUUCAAAUUUCCUGUCUGGAAGAGCAGAAGAAUAUUCGGGUACUGAUAAUGUGCUGAAUGAAGUGAUAAAUGCUGAAGCGUUUUAAAGCUUUGCUGCUGUAAAUGUGAGGAGUGCUGGCAGGUUUUGCUCUCCCUUAGCGAAGAAGGCUGUGAGAACACGUCCAUCCUCCAGCUCCCAGCGAUCCUCAACCCAUUCCAACCCCAAAACCACAGCAGCAGCAAUAAAUA